CGCUGCUCCAACGAAAACCUGAAGUUAAUUUUAAUUUUAAUUUUGUUUUCCUCAAGCACCGAUGAUCACCGACAGUCUUGGGUUUGGAUCUAGACAAAGUAGUGUUCGCCUCACCCUCCCUCCAACUCCGCGCUUACAAACCAAGUCUCCUGUCUGACCAAGCUCCACGCAAUCUCCCACGCCUAAUAUCUGAUCUCCUUCGCUCCUACACUAGCUUUAUCUAAACAAAAAACAAAACAAAACAAAACAAAAAUCCAGAAUGUGCUCCUGUCGCUGCGCUUUUCUAUGCAUGUCUACACC
rnacentral:lncRNA from 1 species